rnacentral:rRNA from 1 species
GACGAACGCUGGCGGCGUGCUUAACACAUGCAAGUCGAACGGAAAGGCCCUGCUUUUGUUGGUUGCUCGUUUGGCGAACGCGUGUGUAACACGUGAGUAUCCUCCCCUUGUCUUUGGGAUAACUUCAGGAAACUGGGGCUCAUACCGGAUAUGAUCUCCUGCUCCAUGUUGGUGGUUGGUAAGUUUCGGCGUUUUGGUCUGGUCUCGCUGCUUAUCCGCUUGUUUGUGGGGUAGUGGCUUACCAAGGCUUUGACGGGUAGCCGGCAUGAGAGGGUGACCGGGGACAAGGGGACUAAGAGAGGGCGCAGAAUCGAACGGGAGGCAGCAGGGGGGAAUAUUGCAGAGUAGGGGGAAGCGAGAGACAGCAACGCCGCGUGCGGGAUGACGGGCUUCGAGUUGUAAACAGAUUUCGAAUGUGACGAAGAGUGAGUGACGGUAAUGGGUAAAGAAGCAACGGCUAACUACGUG